UACCGAGGGUGCGAGCGUUAAUCGGAAUUACUGGGCGUAAAGGGCGCGUAGGCGGUAAGAUGGGUGUGAUGUGAAAGCCCUGGGCUUAACCUGGGAAGGGCAUUGCAAACUAUGGUACUAGAGUACAUGAGAGGGUGGCGGAAUUUCCGGUGUAGCGGUGAAAUGCGUAGAGAUCGGAAGGAACGUCAAUGGCGAAGGCAGCCACCUGGCAUGAUACUGACGCUGAGGCGCGAAAGCGUGGGGAGCGAACAGG
rnacentral:rRNA from 1 species